rnacentral:tRNA from 1 species
GCUAUCGUAGCUUAAUUGGUUAAAGCACCCGACUCAUAAUCGGUCGAUUGAAGGUUCAAUUCCGUCCGAUAGCA